GACGAACGCUGGCGGCGUGCCUAAUACAUGCAAGUUGAGCGCUGAAGGUUGGUACUUGUACCGACUGGAUGAGCAGCGAACGGGUGAGUAACGCGUGGGGAAUCUGCCUUUGAGCGGGGGACAACAUUUGGAAACGAAUGCUAAUACCGCAUAAAAACUUUAAACACAAGUUUUAAGUUUGAAAGGUGCAAUUGCAUCACUCAAAGAUGAUCCCGCGUUGUAUUAGCUAGUUGGUGAGGUAAAGGCUCACCAAGGCGAUGAUACAUAGCCGACCUGAGAGGGUGAUCGGCCACAUUGGGACUGAGACACGGCCCAAACUCCUACGGGAGGCAGCAGUAGGGAAUCUUCGGCAAUGGACGAAAGUCUGACCGAGCAACGCCGCGUGAGUGAAGAAGGGUUUCGGAUCGUAAAACUCUGUUGGUAGAGAAGAACGUUGGUGAGAGUGGAAAGCUCAUCAAGUGACGGUAACUACCCAGAAAGGGACGGCUAACUACGUG
rnacentral:rRNA from 1 species